GAUUCCAGUUGGAGCGAGAGAAGUUUCCAGAGGCUCACUGUGCCAGUCUGACAAGACAGGAAGAAUCCACCCGCUGGUGCUCAGAGGGGCGGUGCUCAGGUGUGAGAUAGACCUGACAGUCUAAAGGCUCUCCCCAUCUCCUGCUCCUUCUCCUUGUAUCUUUCAUAGGUGUUUCCCCCAAUAAAUCUCUUGUAUGUCAA